rnacentral:lncRNA from 1 species
AGGGAAUUAUAAUUUUAAAUCCAAUUUUUAAGGAAUACUUCAAUGAAAAGGUAACAUUUGUGCAAGUAUUUGAAGAGCUGUGACUAUUUGGAGAGGAGCUCUUGGGGAAGAAAUAGUAGCCAAGGAAAGAGUUCUGAGAUGGGAGUUUGGCUGGGGCAGAUGAUUGAGGUCAGGGAAGGAGUCAUCCUGGGUCAGAUGUUACAGGGCUUUGUUGGUAAACACAGGGACUGCUUUUACUCUACUUAAGAUGGAAACCAUUGCAGAGUUUUGAGCCCAGGAGCACCAAGACCUGAUUUAGCAUUACUCUGCAUCACUGUUUCUAGCAUCACUCUGAAUACUGCAUUAAGAAUAGACUAUAGUGGGGAAGGGUGGAAAUGGGAAUCUAGCCAGAGUCUACUAUAACAAGCAGGGAGUUGACAAUGGUAACUUGAAUAGUAGCAGCACAGGUGAUAAGAAAUAGUUAACUUUCUAGAUAUAAAUGGAAGGUAGGCCAGUAUAAUUUUCUGAUAGAUUGGAUUUGUGGUGGAAGUGAACAUGAGGAGUCAAAGAAUACCCCAAGAGAAUCCUGUAUUAUAAUUAGCAAACUUACCAUAUUUUUCUGUCCACCCCUAAACUAUUGAGCUAACACGUGUACUUACACAUAAAGUCAUACACUUGUAGUCCUCUUCAAUAAUUUAGACUAACUGAUGGUCUAUACAAUAUGGUUAAUUUCUCUGCAGAUUAUAGAAAUUAAAAAUGAAAUAAGGGUUAGUACCAGUUAAAAGAUUUGAGAAGGCUAAAUUUUUUUUUCUAAUUUUAAAUUAGAUGUAAUUUUGCUUCAGGCUAGCUGGAAGAGUUCUGUAAGUGACAAUUUAAACUUAAAUUAAUCUCACUCUAAGCCCUUUUUAAUAAAGCUUUUCUAUGAAACACUGAAAAGCCAGCAAGAUGAAGGCUGUAAUGUUCCCAGGAAUAUAUAAUCUAAAACUAUAACUUAAUUUGAAUUCUACUGUGCAUUUUAAUUAAAUUCCAGAUCUUUACAGACAAUUAGUACACACAUGUAAGACACAUCUAUCUAGAAGGUAAUGUGAAGUGAAGAAUUUAGGCUUUUUUUUUUGGUCUUUGACUUUUCUAGGGCUGCUCCUAUGGCAUAAGGAGGUUCCCAGGCUAGGGGUCGAAUUGGAGCUGUAGAUGCCAGCCUACGCUCGAGCCCCACGGCAAUGCGGGAUCCGAGCCACGUCUGCAACCUACACCACAGCUCACAGCAACGCCGGAUUUUUAACCCACUGAGCAAGGCCAGGGAUCGAACCCGCAACCUCAUGGUUCCUAAUCGGAUUCGUUAACCACUGAACCAUGAUGGGAACUCCAUGGGCACAUUUUUGAGAUGGAUAAAAGUCUGAUUCAUGCAGACUUUGUGACUGAAAAAAGAGAAGUAUUUUGCAUCAGGAUUGGUGUAUUUCUUUUAACUUAAAUUAGAUGAAAUUAGACAAAACUAGAAAGCUACAUUAAAUGUGGGAUGGAUUUUUUUUUGGAGAAUCAAUCUAAAGAUAAAAAUAUAUAGGAAAAGUUAAAGUUAUGAAAAGAACCACAGAAAAAUUCUAUUACAAUAAGUUGUUUUAUUAUUUGAACAAUUUUGUAUUAUCUAAAGGAAGUUAUUAUGAAUAGAUUGACAAUUCACACUCUCAUCACAAGUUUAGAAUCUAGGUGUCUAUGUCCUAAUAUGGCUGACUUUUGGUUGUUCAUUUUCACCUGAAGGAAGAUGUUUAUUUAAAAAGUGACAUGGAAUUCCUGUUGCGGCUCAGUGGAUUAAGAACCCAACUAGCAUCCAUGCGGAUGCAGGUUGGAUCCCUGGCCUUGCUCAGUAUGUUAAGGAUUCGCUGUUGCCAUGAGCUGUGGUAUAGGUUGCAGAUGUGGCUUGGAUCUGGUGUUGCUGUGGCUGUAGCAUAGGCUGGCAGCUGCAGCUCUGAUUUGACUCCUAGCCUGGGAACUUACAUAUGCUGUAAAAAGACC